rnacentral:ncRNA from 1 species
AUUAAAGGAUAUUAAGUGUGUAUUUUAAUUUAAACUUUUUAUAUAUUAUUAAGAGACCUAGAUAGUUUGGUUCUGACAACAUAUAACGAAAACUAAAAAUGACAUCAUGGUAUUUUUUGAAAUAGGUGAGAUAAGACAAGUAACAAUUGAAGUUAAUAACAGAUCUUGUUAUUUUUCGAAAGUAUUAUAUAUUAAACAAUACUUUGAAUAUUUCCACUUACACCAGUGUUGAAAUUUAAUUAUAAGAGUGAAAGCUUGUAUUAGUUUAGUAGAUAAAGUUUGGUUAAUUUAGUGCCAGCAUCCGCGGUUAUACUAAAAAAUUAAGUUAUAUUACUUUGGUUAAAAGACAGUUAGACAAAUUAAAGAGUGUUUACAAAGAAUUAAUGAAAUAGUGAAAUAUUAUCAUUAUGCUUAUAUUUAAAAUAAACUAUAAUGUUGAAUCUGUGAAAGUUUUGAGGGAAACCGGGAUUAGAUACCCCAUUAUUCUUUACUGUAAACAAAUACUAUAUUUACCUGGGUACUACGAACAAUAUAUAUGUUUAAAACCCAAAGGACUUGGCGGUGUUUUAAUUACUUAGGGGAAUCUGUUUUAUAAUCGACAAUCCACGUUAAACCUGACCUUACUUUAUAGCUUGUAUACCGCCGUCUUCAGGUAACUUUUAAGAAUUUAAAAGUUACCAAAAAAUUUUAAAGAUUAAACGUCAGGUCAAGGUGCAGCCUAUAGUGGGGAAAAAAUGGAUUACAAUUAAAAAUUUUUAAAUACGAAAAGUUAUUUGAAAUAAUAAAAUUGAAGGCGGACUUAAAAGUAAUACUUUUUAUAUAAACUGUAUGAAUUAAAACUUAAAACGCGCACAUAUCGCCCGUCACUCUCAUUUAAAAAUGAGAUAAGUCGUAACACAGUAGGAGUAAUGGAAAUUGCCCCUAGUUU